GCAAGUCGAACGACCUAGUAAUAGGGAGUGGCAAACGGGUGAGUAACACGUGGGAACCUACCCAGGAGUACGGAAUAACUUAGGGAAACUUAAGCUAAUACCGUAUACGUCCUUAGGGUGAAAGAUUUAUCGCCCCUGGAUGAGCCCGCGUCUGAUUAGCUUGUUGGUGGGGUAAAAGCCUACCAAGGCGACGAUCAGUAGCUGGUCUGAGAGGAUGAUC
rnacentral:rRNA from 1 species